UCUUUAUCCAUUUAUCACUGGACACUUGGGCUGCUUCCAUAACUUGACUAUGGUGUGAGGUGGUAUUUCCUUGUCCUCCUGAUGAGGAGUGAUUUUGAGCAUCUUUCCAUGUGUCUGUUGGCCAUCAGAAACCUAGGUGAUUUUGAUGCGGAUCAUUUACUGUAUACACAGUAGUCUCCUCACCCAUAGUUCUGCUUUCUGCGGUUUCAGUUAACUGUGGUCAGCCGCAUCCAGAAGCAGAUGAUCCUCUUCUGACAUACUGUCGGAAGGUCGACAGCAGCCUAACGGUUACGCCACAAUGCAUACAUCACUCAACCCAGUUCAUCUCAUCACGAUGGCAUUUUAUCAUCUUACAGCAUCACAAGAAGAAAUGUAUAUGGACACUUGUGAUGGCAUUUUGGGCCCACCUGGAUAAUCCUGGGUGAUCUCUGCAUCUCAAGAUAUUUAGUCACAUCUACAGAGAUCUUUCUUCCAAAUAAGGGCCCUCUGGUGCUUCAGACUCCUCAGCUUCCAACAGUCUUUGGUCUUCUAUUCUCAAUGCCUCUUCAGUGGCUUUUCUGAAAUGAAAAGAUCCAAAAUUUAAUCAACUUUGGAAAUUCAGAUAUCUCACAAUAUUAUAGAAUUUGAAGCUUAUAGUGAAGUUAUAAUGAUGACAGGGUGUUAAGUUCUCAGCUCCAAAGAAUAAGUGUAAGGACCUGAUGGAACAGCCAAUGAUCCAGCACACCAUUCCUGGCCAUAUACUUGAGUUAUCUUUUGAAUUCUUCUGAUUCAAGUGGAGGCAAGAUGGUGGAAGAGUAGGGGUCUUCAACUCAUCUGGUCCCCCAAAAUUACCCAGAUAACUUUCAAAACAUCCUGAACACCUACGAAUUCAACCUGAGAUUAAAGACAGAACAGCUGGAAUGCUACAGAGAGAACCGUUUUCACUUCAAACAAGGACUCUGAGAGAAGGGAGAAGGUGAAACAUUAUGGGCACAUCCACUGCCUCAAGGGAAGAGGUUCUGAAGGGAGGCACUCAGGCCUGGACAUUUCAAUGCCGAGGGGAGGAACAUUUCCAGAGGUGAGGACUGACAAUAUAGGUUUUGGGUGUAUCAGCAAAACAGCUUAGGUGUAGGAAUCUGUUGAAGGAGAUUCCCCAGUUGAGAUUAUUGUGGAGAAAAGGGGGAACCUUCCUUAGGAUUUCCGAUCUUAAAGAAUUCCAGAGUGUAUGGUCCAAGAGAGCAGUGGUGGGACUCAGCCUUGUGGGGCAAGUGGUAGGGAGGGGGCCCCAGGGAGGCCUUGGUGCAUAGUCUAUAUCUGGCCUAGUCAUCACGGGAGCCAUGGAAGUGGGCUCUCAGAUGUUUGACUAGCUGAAAAUAAAGUGGCAUUCCCUUUGGACAUCCUCAGGGGAGGGUUGAGUGGGAGAAAGUAAUAUUUAGAAAAAUGGUAUAACAUUUUCAUGCACUGUUCAUCCUUCUAUCCCUUUGUGAUUUUAACUUAAUAAAAAAUUUCC